CUGAAUGGAGGACCGAACCGACUUACGUUGAAAAGUGAGCGGAUGAACUGAGGGUAGCGGAGAAAUUCCAAUCGAACUUGGAGAUAGCUGGUUCUCUCCGAAAUAGCUUUAGGGCUAGCCUCAAGUGAUGAUUAUUGGAGGUAGAGCACUGUUUGGACGAGGGGCCCCUCUCGGGUUACCGAAUUCAGACAAACUCCGAAUGCCAAUUAAUUUAACUUGGGAGUCAGAACAUGGGUGAUAAGGUCCGUGUUCGAAAGGGAAACAGCCCAGACCACCAGCUAAGGUCCCAAAAUAUAUGUUAAGUGGAAAAGGAUGUGGCGUUGCCCAGACAACUAGGAUGUUGGCUUAGAAGCAGCCAUCAUUUAAAGAGUGCGUAAUAGCUCACUAGUCGAGUGACACUGCGCCGAAAAUGUACCGGGGCUAAACAUAUUACCGAAGCUGUGGAUUGUCCUUUGGACAAUGGUAGGAGAGCGUUCUAAGGGCGUCGAAGCAUGAUCGCAAGGACAUGUGGAGCGCUUAGAAGUGAGAAUGCCGGUGUGAGUAGCGAAAGACGGGUGAGAAUCCCGUCCACCGAUUGACUAAGGUUUCCAGAGGAAGGCUCGUCCGCUCUGGGUUAGUCGGGUCCUAAGCUGAGGCCGACAGGCGUAGGCGAUGGAUAACAGGUUGAUAUUCCUGUACCACCUAGUAUCG
rnacentral:rRNA from 1 species